rnacentral:rRNA from 1 species
UNUGACUUGAGUGCAGAAGGGGAGAGUGGAAUUCCAUGUGUAGCGGUGAAAUGCGUAGAUAUAUGGAGGAACACCAGUGGCGAAAGCGGCUCUCUGGUCUGUCACUGACGCUGAGGCUCGAAAGCGUGGGUAGCGAACAGGAUUAGAUACCNUGGUAGUCCACACCGUAAACGAUGAGUGCUAGGUGUUAGGCCCUUUCCGGGGCUUAGUGCCGGAGCUAACGCAAUAAGCACUCCGCCUGGGGAGUACGACCGCAAGGUUGAAACUCAAAGGAAUUGACGGGGGCCCGCACAAGCGGUGGAGCAUGUGGUUUAAUUCGAAGCAACGCGAAGAACCUUACCAGGUCUUGACAUCCCGAUGCUAUUCUUAGAGAUAGGAAGUUACUUCGGUACAUCGGAGACAGGUGGUGCAUGGUUGUCGUCAGCUCGUGUCGUGAGAUGUUGGGUUAAGUCCCGCAACGAGCGCAACCCUUAUUGUUAGUUGCUAUCGUUAAGUUGGGCACUCUAGCGAGACUGCCGGUAAUAAACCGGAGGAAGGUGGGGAUGACGUCAAAUCAUCAUGCCCCUUAUGACCUGGGCUACACACGUGCUACAAUGGUCGGUACAACGAGUUGCGAGCCGGUGACGGCAAGCUAAUCUCUGAAAGCCGAUCUCAGUUCGGAUUGGAGGCUGCAACUCGCCUCCAUGAAGUCGGAAUCGCUAGUAAUCGCGGAUCAGCACGCCGCGGUGAAUACGUUCCCGGGCCUUGUACACACCGCCCGUCACACCACGAGAGUUUGUAACACCCGAAGUCGGUGAGGUANCCUUUUAGGG